CACGUAAGGGGCGAGCGUUGUUCGGAUUUAUUGGGCGUAAAGGGCGUGUAGGCGGUGAGAUAAGUCUGGUGUGAAAGAUCCCGGCUCAACCGGGAGAGCGCGCUGGAAACUGUCUUACUUGAGUGAUGGAGGGGGAGCUGGAAUUCCUGGUGUAGGGGUGAAAUCUGUAGAGAUCAGGAAGAACACCGGAGGCGAAGGCGAGCUCCUGGCCAUUUACUGACGCUGAGGCGCGAAAGCGUGGGGAGCGAACAGGAUUAGAUACCCUGGUAGUCCACGCUGUAAACGAUGUGCACUGGGUGUUGGACCUGAGAGGUUCAGUGCCGUAGCAAACGCGUUAAGUGCACCGCCUGGGGAGUAUGCUCGCAAGGGUGAA
rnacentral:rRNA from 1 species